UCUCCUGGAAACGGGUGGUAAUGCCGGAUGCUCCAUCACACCGCAUGGUGUGUUGGGAAAGCCUUUGCGGCAUGGGAUGGGGUCGCGUCCUAUCAGCUUGAUGGCGGGGUAACGGCCCACCAUGGCUUCGACGGGUAGCCGGCCUGAGAGGGCGACCGGCCACAUUGGGACUGAGAUACGGCCCAGACUCCUACGGGAGGCAGCAGUGGGGAAUAUUGCACAAUGGGCGCAAGCCUGAUGCAGCGACGCCGCGUGAGGGAUGGAGGCCUUCGGGUUGUAAACCUCUUUUGUUAGGGAGCAAGGCAUUUUGUGUUGAGUGUACCUUUCGAAUAAGCACCGGCUAACUACGUGCCAGCAGCCGCGGUAAUACGUAGGGUGCAAGCGUUAUCCGGAAUUAUUGGGCGUAAAGGGCUCGUAGGCGGUUCGUCGCGUCCGGUGUGAAAGUCCAUCGCUUAACGGUGGAUCCGCGCCGGGUACGGGCGGGCUUGAGUGCGGUAGGGGAGACUGGAAUUCCCGGUGUAACGGUGGAAUGUGUAGAUAU
rnacentral:rRNA from 1 species